rnacentral:rRNA from 2 species
GAAUUUUAUAUAAAUUUUUAUUGAAAUAUUAUUUUUUAUAAUAAAAAUAAAUUAAAAUUUAUAUUUGAUUGGGAGGAUUAUUAAAUUAAAUUAACUUUAAAUUAUUGAUACAUUAAUUUAUGAUAAGUUUUUAAAAGAUUAAAAUUUAAUAUUAAUUAAAUUUUAAAUAAGAAUUAAUUACCUUAGGGAUAACAGCGUAAUAUUUUUAAAAAGAUCUUAUUGAUAAAAAUGUUUGC